rnacentral:rRNA from 1 species
AUUGAACGCUGGCGGCAUGCCUUACACAUGCAAGUCGAACGGCAGCACGGGAGCAAUCCUGGUGGCGAGUGGCGAACGGGUGAGUAAAGUAUCGGAACGUGCCCAGUCGUGGGGGAUAACGUAGCGAAAGUUACGCUAAUACCGCAUACGAUCUAUGGAUGAAAGCGGGGGAUCGCAAGACCUCGCGCGAUUGGAGCGGCCGAUAUCAGGUUAGGUAGUUGGUGGGGUAAAGGCUCACCAAGCCGACGAUCUGUAGCUGGUCUGAGAGGACGAACAGCCACACUGGGACUGAGACACGGCCCAGACUCCUACGGGAGUCAGCAGUGGGGAAUUUUGGACAAUGGGCGAAAGCCUGAUCCAGCCAUGCCGCGUGCAGGAUGAAGGCCUUCGGGUUGUAAACUGCUUUUGUACGGAACGAAAAGGUUUGGCCUAAUAAGCUGAGCUCAUGACGGUGCCGUAAGAAUAAGCACCGGCUAACUACGUGCCAGCAGCCGCGGUAA